rnacentral:rRNA from 1 species
GAUGAACGCUGGCGGCGUGCCUAAUACAUGCAAGUCGAGCGAACAGACGAGGAGCUUGCUCCUCGGACGUUAGCGUCGGACGGGUGGGUAACACGUGGAUAACCUACCUAUAAGACUGGGAUAACUUCGGGGAGCCGGAGCUGGUACCGGGUAAUAUAUUCAACCGCAGGGUUCAAUAGUGCAAGACGUUUUGGCUGACGCUUAUUGAUGGAUCCGCGCCGCAUUAGCUAGUUGGUAAGUUAACCGCUUACCAAAGCUACGAUGCGUAGCCGACGUGACAGGGAGAUCGGCCACACUGGAACUGAGACACGGUCCAGACUCCUACGGGAGGCAGCAGUAGGGAAUCUUACGCGAUGGGCGAAAGCCUGACGGAGCAACGCCGGGUGAGUGAUGAAGGUCUUCGGAUCGUAAAACUCUGUUAUUAGGGAAGAACAAAUGUGUAAGUAACUAUGCACGUCUUGACGGUACCUAAUCAGAAAGCCACGGCUAACUACGUG